rnacentral:rRNA from 1 species
GAUGAACGCUGGCGGCGUGCCUAAUACAUGCAAGUCGAGCGAACAGACGAGGAUCUUGCUCCUCUGACGUUAGCGGCGGACGGGUGAGUAACACGUGGAUAACCUACCUAUAAGACUGGGAUAACUUCGGGAAACCGGAGCUAAUACCGGAUAAUAUAUUGAACCGCAUGGUUCAUUAGUGAAAGACGGUUUUGCUGUCACUUAUAGAUGGAUCCGCGCCGCAUUAGCUAGUUGGUAAGGUAACGGCUUACCAAGGCAACGAUGCGUAGCCGACCUGAGAGGGUGAUCGGCCACACUGGAACUGAGACACGGUCCAGACUCCUACGGGAGGCAGCAGUAGGGAAUCUUCCGCAAUGGGCGAAAGCCUGACGGAGCAACGCCGCGUGAGUGAUGAAGGUCUUCGGAUCGUAAAACUCUGUUAGUAGGGAAGAACAAAUGUGUAAGUAACUAUGCACGUCUUGACGGUACCUAAUCAGAAAGCCACGGCUAACUACGUG